rnacentral:rRNA from 1 species
UACGGGGGGGGCUAGCGUUGUUCGGAAUUACUGGGCGUAAAGAGCGCGCAGGCGGUCGAUCAAGUCGAGUGUGAAAGCCCCCGGCUCAACUGGGGAGGGUCAUUCGAUACUGAUCGACUCGAAGGCAGGAGAGGGUAGUGGAAUUCCCGGUGUAGUGGUGAAAUGCGUAGAUAUCGGGAGGAACACCAGUGGCGAAGGCGACUACCUGGCCUGUUCUUGACGCUGAGGCGCGAAAGCUAGGGGAGCAACGGG